rnacentral:RNase_P_RNA from 2 species
CCGGCGUACCAGGCGGCGAGGCCUGCGUUUGACAACGCGGUCAGGAAAGUCCGAACACUACCCGAUGCUUCGCAUCGAGAAUCUCUCACCUCGAGCUUCUAUGCCCUAGAACGCCGCCGUUUUAGGAUUUAGAGAUUUGGGUUUAGGGUUUCCCGCUGCGGAGCAGCGGGUGUGGGGAGUGGGUAACGCCCACCGCCCCGGUGUUUUACACCGGGGUAGGGAGAGUGCCACAGAGACCAUACCGCCAAUUUUGCUCGCGAGUAGCGCGACGUGCAAAAUUGAGCGUCCCGAGAAGCGAAGCGACGAGGGGCCUCCGGAAGGAAAUCCUUCGACUUCGCUCAGGGUGCUCGAUUUCGCAGCCGCGCUGCGCGCGGGCGAAAUCGGCAAGGGUGAAAAGAGAUGGGCCCGCCUUCGUGCGGGAUACCCCGUCGCACUGCGGCGGGUAAAGUAAGAGCCCACAGCGGCUCCGGGCAACCGGAGUCGGUGGAAAACCCUCCCCGGUGCAAGGUCCGUGUCUCGAUAUCUAUCGGGAAGUGGCCGCAGAGAAUCCGACAGCAAUGUCGGGUCAAGAGAGAUAACCGCCCCUGCGGGAACUGGGAAUUCCGGCAGCGACAGAAUUCGGCUUAUCGGUACGCCGCGCCU